AGUAAUCGGGAUACACGACCGGCGCACGGGUGAGUAACGCGUAUGCAACCUACCUUCAACAGGGAUAUACUCCCGGAAACGGGAAUUAAUAUCCCAUAAUAUUUUUUUAUAGCUUAUAGAAAGAUUAAAGCUCAGGCGGUUGAAGAUGGGCAUGCGUGACAUUAGCUAGUUGGUAAGGUAACGGCUUACCAAGGCUACGAUGUCUAGGGGGUCUGAGAGGAUGAUCCCCCACACUGGUACUGAGACACGGACCAGACUCCUACGGGAGGCAGCAGUGAGGAAUAUUGGGCAAUGGACGCAAGUCUGACCCAGCCAUGCCGCGUGCAGGAUGACUGCCCUAUGGGUUGUAAACUGCUUUUCUGCAGGAAGAAACUUCCCGACGUGUCGGGACUUGACGGUACUGCAGGAAUAAGCAUCGGCUAACUCCGUGCCAGCAGCCGCGGUUAUACGGAGGAUACGCAGCGUUAUCCCGGAUAUUAUUGGGUUAAAGGUGCGUAGCCCGCGAGAAAAAUAAGUCAGUGGUGAUCUCCUGCAGCUUCUGUAGAGAACUGCCAUUGACACGGGUCUCCUUGAGUAUCAGUUGAAGUGGGCGGAAUGUGUUUUGUAGCGGUGAAAUGCUUAGAUUCACACGAGCACACUCUAUGCGCGAAGGCAGCGUCACAUAAACCUACAUACAGACCGCUGACGCCACGAAGAGCUGUGGGCGCGAACACGGAGUAUUUCGAUACCCUUUUUUUCCACCCGUGUAACACGUGUGAUACACUCGAUGUGCUGCGCACACCACUCGUAACGCGCUGUCGUAUAACCGGAAACAUUAAUAUCACCUGGGGGAGUACGAUCGCAAGAUUGAAACUCAANGNAUUGACGG
rnacentral:rRNA from 1 species